rnacentral:rRNA from 1 species
UACGUAGGGGGCAAGCGUUGUCCGGAUUUACUGGGCGUAAAGAGCGUGUAGGCGGCCACGCAGGUCCGUUGUGAAAACUGGAGGCUCAACCUCCAGCUGUCGACGGAAACCGUGUGGCUAGAGUCCGGAAGAGGAGAGUGGAAUUCCCGGUGUAGCGGUGAAAUGCGCAGAUAUCGGGAAGAACACCCGUGGCGAAGGCGGCUCUCUGGGACGGUACUGACGCUGAGACGCGAAAGCGUGGGGAGCAAACAGGG